rnacentral:rRNA from 1 species
AGGACGAACGCUGGCGGCGUGCUUAACACAUGCAAGUCGAGCGGAAAGGCCCUUCGGGGUACUCGAGCGGCGAACGGGUGAGUAACACGUGAGUAACCUGCCCCUAGCUCUGGGAUAGCUCCGGGAAACCGGGAUUAAUACCAGAUACGACCACUUUAGACAUCUGUCGUGGUGGAAAGGAUUCCGGCUAGGGAUGGGCUCGCGGCCUAUCAGCUAGUUGGUGGGGUAAUGGCCUACCAAGGCGACGACGGGUA